rnacentral:misc_RNA from 1 species
GAUGAAGAACGUAGCGAAAUGCGAUAAGUAAUGUGAAUUGCAGAAUUCAGUGAAUCAUCGAAUCUUUGAACGCACAUUGCGCCCUAUGGUAUUCCGUAGGGCAUGCCUGUUCGAGCGUCAUUACAACCCUCAAGCUCCGCUUGGUAUUGGGCGUCGUCCCCUAAACGGACGUGCCUCAAAGACCUCGGCGGUGGCGUCUUUGCCUCAAGCGUAGUAAUAUUUUUAUCUCGCUUUGGAGUCGAAGGCGUCGCCCGCCGGACGAAACCUUUAUUUUUUCUAUCAAGGUUGACCUCGGAUCAGGUAGGGAUACCCGCUGAACUUAAGCAUAUCAAUAAGCGGAGGA